rnacentral:rRNA from 1 species
GAUGAACGCUAGCGGCAGGCUUAACACAUGCAAGUCGAGGGGUAUAGGAAGCUUGCUUCCUAGAGACCGGCGCACGGGUGCGUAACGCGUAUGCAAUCUACCUUUUACAGAGGGAUAGCCCAGAGAAAUUUGGAUUAAUACCUCAUAGUAUCUUUGCCUGGCAUCAGGUGAUUAUUAAAGUUCCAACGGUAAAAGAUGAGCAUGCGUCCUAUUAGCUAGAUGGUAAGGUAACGGCUUACCAUGGCGACGAUAGGUAGGGGUCCUGAGAGGGGGAUCCACCACACUGGUACUGAGACACGGACCAGACUCCUACGGGAGGCAGCAGUGAGGAAUAUUGGACAAUGGGCGCAAGCCUGAUCCAGCCAUGCCGCGUGCAGGAAGAAGCAUCUAUGGUGUGUAAACUGCUUUUGUACGGGAAGAAACACUCCUACGUGUAGGAGCUUGACGGUACCGUAAGAAUAAGGAUCGGCUAACUCCGUGCCAGCAGCCGCCGUAAAAC